GUAGUCAGAUUCAUAUCAGUUCACGUAUGUUGAGGUGAGUUGGAGUGGAACUUGAACUAAAUUCCACCCCAAUAUGCACACCAACACAUAUGGAUUGAAGUAUAUCCGACA
rnacentral:pre_miRNA from 1 species